rnacentral:rRNA from 1 species
AGAUUAAGUUAUUAAGGGCGCACGGUGGAUGCCUUGGCACUAGAAGCCGAUGAAGGACGUUACUAACGACGAUAUGCUUUGGGGAGCUGUAAGUAAGCUUUGAUCCAGAGAUUUCCGAAUGGGGAAACCCAGCAUGAGUUAUGUCAUGUUAUCGAUAUGUGAAUACAUAGCAUAUCAGAAGGCACACCCGGAGAACUGAAACAUCUUAGUACCCGGAGGAAGAGAAAGAAAAUUCGAUUCCCUUAGUAGCGGCGAGCGAAACGGGAAGAGCCCAAACCAACAAGCUUGCUUGUUGGGGUUGUAGGACACUCUAUACGGAGUUACAAAGGACGACAUUAGACGAAUCAUCUGGAAAGAUGAAUCAAAGAAGGUAAUAAUCCUGUAGUCGAAAAUGUUGUCUCUCUUGAGUGGAUCCUGAGUACGACGGAGCACGUGAAAUUCCGUCGGAAUCUGGGAGGACCAUCUCCUAAGGCUAAAUACUCUCUAGUGACCGAUAGUGAACCAGU